rnacentral:lncRNA from 13 species
AUGCAGGCUAUACUACUACUAUCUAUCUAUCCACAUGAAGGCUAUACUACUACUAUCUUUCCCUCCACAUGCAGGCUAUACUACUACUAUCUAUCUAUCCACAUGCAGGCUGUACUAGAACUAUCUAUAUAUCCACAUGAAGGCCUUACUACUACUAUCUAUCUAUCCACAUCAAGACUGUACUACUACUAUCUAUCUAUCCACAUGAAGGCUAUACUAGUACUAUCUACAUAUCCACAUGAAGGCUAUACUACUACUAUCCACCUGUAUAUCCACAUGCAGGCUGUACUAGUACUAUCUAUAUAUCCACAUGAAGGCCUUACUACUNNNNNNNNNNACUGUACUACUACUAUCUAUCUAUCCACAUGAAGGCUAUACUAGUACUAUCUACAUAUCCACAUGAAGGCUAUACUACUACUAUCCACCUGUAUAUCCACAUGCAGGCUGUACUAGUACUAUCUAUAUAUCCACAUGAAGGCCUUACUACUACUAUAUAUCUAUCCACAUCAAUGCGUUUCUACAACUAUCUAUCCACAUGAAGGCUAUACUACUACUAUCUGUAUAUCCACACGAAAGCUGUACUACUACUAUUUAUCUGUCUAUCCACAUACAGGCUGUACUAGUACUAUCUAUAUAUCCACAUGAAGGCUGUACUACCACUAUCUAUCCACAUCAAUGCUUUUCUACAACUAUCUAUCUAUCCACAUGAAGGAUGUACUACUACUAUCUAUCUAUCCACAUGAAGGCUGUACUACUACUAUCUAUCUAUCCACAUGGAGGCUGUACUACUACUAUCUAUCUAUCCACAUCAAGGCUGUACUACUACUAUCUAUCUAUCCACAUGAAGGCUAUACUAGUACUAUCNNNNNNNNNNACUGUACUACUACUAUCUAUCUAUCCACAUGAAGGCUAUACUAGUACUAUCUACAUAUCCACAUGAAGGCUAUACUACUACUAUCCACCUGUAUAUCCACAUGCAGGCUGUACUAGUACUAUCUAUAUAUCCACAUGAAGGCCUUACUACUGCUAUCUAUCUAUCCACAUCAAUGCUUUUCUACAAUUAUCUAUCCACAUGAAAGCUGUACUACUACUAUCUAUCUGUCUAUCCACAUGCAGGCUUUACUAGUACUACUAUCUAUCUAUCCACAUGAAGGCUAUACUACUACUAUCUUUCCCUCCA